GAGGGUAUCGCUCAAAUGGUAGAGUGCAUGCUUAGCAUGCAUGAGGUCCUGGGUUCAACCCCCAAUACUUCA
rnacentral:tRNA from 1 species